CUGCUAUCGGAUUGAUACUAAGCCAUGCGAGUCUUUGUAGUAAUACAAGGCAGACGGCUCAGUAACACGUAGUCAACCUACCCUAUGGACAAGAAUAAUCUCGGGAAACUGGGCAUAAUUCUUGAUAGAUCAUAAUGCCUGGAAUGGUUUAUGGUUAAAAUGAUUCGUCGCCAUAGGAUGGGACUGCGGCCUAUCAGCUUGUUGGUGAGGUAAUGGCCCACCAAGGCGAUUACAGGUACGGGCUCUGAGAGGAGAAGCCCGGAGAUGGGUACUGAGACACGGACCCAGGCCCUAUGGGGCGCAGCAGGCGAGAAAACUUUGCAAUGUGCGAAAGCACGACAAGGUUAAUCCGAGUGAUUUCUGCUAAAGAAAUCUUUUGCCAGUCAUAAAACCACUGGUGAAUAAGGGGUGGGCAAGUUCUGGUGUCAGCCGCUGCGGUAAAACCAGCACCUCAAGUGGUCAGGAUGAUUAUUGGGCCUAAAGCAUCCGUAGCCGGCUUUGUUAGUUUUCGGUUAAAUCCAUGUGCUCAACGCAUGGGCUGCCGAAAAUACUGCAUAGCUAGGGAGUGGGAGAGGUAGACGGUACUCAGUAGGAAGGGGUAAAAUCCUUUGAUCUAUUGAUGACCACCUGUGGCGAAGGCGGUCUACCAGAACACGUUCGACGGUGAGGGAUGAAAGCUGGGGGAGCAAACCGGAUUAGAUACCCGGGUAGUCCCAGCUGUAAACGAUGCAGACUCGAUGAUGCAUUGGCAUAAUAGCCAGUGCAGUGUCGCAGGGGAGCCGUUAAGUCUGCCGCCUGGGAAGUACGUACGCAAGUAUGAAACUUAAAGGAAUUGGCGGGGAGCACACAAGGGUGAGGCUGCGGUUCA
rnacentral:rRNA from 1 species